GCUACCUGCACCCUGUCAAGAAAUGGCCCAUGCGAUCAAGAUUAUACAUCGGUGCUACUGGUCCUGGACUAGCUGAGAAGGUGUGGUUGCAGCCACCCUAGAGAGUGAGCCCCCAUGACCCUCAGUCACAGCUUUGGCCGGGCUCCUUCUCCCCUUGUCAGCUUCGGUUCACAGUCUACCUAUUUGGCCAUUAUGACAUGGGAGACAUCCUGUCUGAUUUGGGAAUUCUGCCACUGAUCUGUGCCUCGAGGGGGUCUGAGGACCACCCUGAUACAUCAGGCCAGAGCAGGCCCUCCUGAACCUGCCCCGAUGUGAACCUACAGCCUGGGAAGGCCCUCUGCUCUGGGCCUCUCCUACCACACUGCACAUCAGGUGCCAUAAAGUAGAGAUAAUGGUCAGGGAACAUACUGAAUCUUUAAACACCUGAAGAAAAAUCUCCAAUCUCUUUUGUCAUGUUUCUGCUGCCUUAGAUUUCCUUUUAUUUCCCUUGUUUUUUACUCAGUCUUCUAUUAUUCCACUUUCCAAAUGUAAAGUUCAUUUAUUUCUCAGUGACCCUGUUUUUAAAGUUGCUGAAUUUGAUCCAAGAUUAGCAAACAGAAAGGCAUAUUAAGGGGCUUGGUUGAGUUAAUAUUGCAGUUGAACCACCACUUUAUUUUCUCCUCAGUUUUCUUUAAGGUUUUGGCAGUGAAAUGAAAGACUAUUUAAGGCAAAAACUACCAUUUAGUUCAUUCAGCCAAACAUCAGCAUGUUUUGCCUCCUAUCUGAUAGUUUGUAACUUUCAUUAUUUUAAUGUGAAUAUCUCCUUGUAAUGUGAUGGAAGUGUGUCUUUACAAGAAAAUGUAUUAAUCAAAACUCUGUACAUAUUGAUAUUUAGCAAAAUGUUUGUAUAUUUAAACAUUUGUGAAUAUAUUUACUCAUGUAACACUGAAAGGGAUAAAAAGUAAAAUGAGUUAUGGAUUCAGGCAUUCACUAUUAAAAAAAAGUGCUAAGAAUAAUCUUUUAUCUUAAGGAAUAAAAUCAAAACUUCUUUAAAGUUACCUGAAAAUGAACUAUAAACUCUACAUUUGAUAGGAGGAAUUUCAGAAAAAUGGCUCUCUUGCUAAUCUAUUUGGCUACAGUGCUUACUUAAAGCAUUUAAUUGGGAGAAAUUUAUGACUUGUUGAUUAUCAGACUUUUCUAAAUCAUUGUUAGAUACUUUGCCUUUUAUAGUAUCACUUUUUAUUUCUUCUUGUCCGGUUAUAUAAAUGUGUUAAUGCCAAAGAAGUAUAUUUCUGUCAUGGGUUUUCAUAACUUUUUAGUAAAUUGCUAAAUAUGCUAACAGAUUUUGGUGGGUUGGAAAAUAUCAGAGAGAAAUUGCAUGUUUUCACCCAAAGGUUCAAGGGAGGAUGCUGUUUUCAUUAAUGGUGCAUGGUCAGGAUAAAGAAUAUUACUAAAAUAAAGCACUAAUUGAAAAUUAA